rnacentral:rRNA from 1 species
AUUGAACGCUGGCGGCAGGCCUAACACAUGCAAGUCGAGCGGACGAAGGGAGCUUGCUCCUGUAUUCAGCUGCGGACGGGUGAGUAAGUCCUAGGAAGCUACCUUGUAUUGGGGGAUAACGUCCGUUAACGGGCGCUAAUACCGCAUACGUCCUGAUGUAGAAAGUGGGGGAUCUUUGGACAUCGCGCUAUCUGAUGACCCUAGGUCGGAUUAGCUAGUUGGUGUGGUAAAGGCCUACCAAGGCGACGAUCCGUAACUGAUCUGAGAGGCUGAUCAGACACACUGGAACUGAGACACGGUCCAGACUCCUACGGGAGGCAGCAGUGGGGAAUAUUCGGCAAUGGGCGAAAGCCUGACGGAGCCAUGCCGCGUGAGUGAAGAAGGUCUUCGGAUCGUAAAGCACUGUUAGUAGGGAAGAAGAAAAGUGAAUUUAUACAUUCCUGUCUUGACGUUACCAACACAAUAAGCCACGGCUAACUUCGUG